rnacentral:rRNA from 1 species
GAUGAACGCUGGCGGCGUGCCUAAUACAUGCAAGUCGAGCGAACAGACGAGGAGCUUGCUCCUCUGACGUUAGCGGCGGACGGGUGAGUAACACGUGGAUAACCUACCUAUAGGACUGGGAUAACUUCGGGAAACCGGAGCUAAUACCGGAUAAUAUAUUGAACCGCAUGGUUCAAUAGUGAAAGACGGUUUUGCUGUCACUUAUAGAUGGAACCGCGCCGCAUUAGCUAGUUGGUAAGGUAACGGCUUACCAAGGCAACGAUGCGUAGCCGACCUGAGAGGGUGAUCGGCCACACUGGAACUGAGACACGGUCCAGACUCCUACGGGAGGCAGCAGUAGGGAAUCUUCCGCAAUGGGCGAAAGCCUGACGGAGCAACGCCGCGUGAGUGAUGAAGGUCUUCGGAUCGUAAAACUCUGUUAUUAGGGAAGAACAAAUGUGUAAGUAACUAUGCACGUCUUGACGGUACCUAAUCAGAAAGCCACGGCUAACUACGUG